rnacentral:lncRNA from 1 species
GGCCUUUGAAAACCGCGGCCACCUGCUCCUGACUCGAGGGCAGGGUGUGGAAGCAGCACAGUUUUUGAGCCUCCAGUAAGCUCCAGAUCAUUUAGAAGAAGCCAAAUGCUCAGAUUCUGUGGUUACCUGACUUUUGAAUGGAAGCCUCUGGAAGGGGCACCCAUGUGUAACCUCAGUCAAGAGGUCCUCGUCGUCUUCCUGCCUUUUCCCGCUUUUCUCAGCACCCUCUAGGCCAUUAACAAAAGUACCAAGCUUGAUUAUUUCCCCCCGAGCCUAGGGUUUCACAUCACACCGCAGUUAUAAAUCGCUAGUAAAAUGGGCCAUUGUGGUUGCUUACGUCGUUUUAUUAAAUAAAGAUGACGUUGCCUCUGUUAGGAAAGGAAUUUGCUCCCAGAGCAAGGAAGUCUGGAGGGCACAUGACAGCAGCCUCACAGACCACGGCAGGGCCUGGAAAGCCUGGAGACUUAAAGUAGGGAUAUUUCCGAGUCUUUUGAAUAUUUUCUUCUUCUUUUUCUCUUUAUAACCCACCUCAGAAUAUAAAAGACAUAAUAGAUGUUUUAAUUUUUACAUCUUUCCGACUGGGAAAAUGUCCAGAAUAAGAUCCAAACAAAACAAAUUAAAUAAUUUUGUGCACGCAAUUAUAGAACAGAAGCAACACUC